GCAGUCGAGCGGUAAGGCCUUUCGGGGUACACGAGCGGCGAACGGGUGAGUAACACGUGGGUGAUCUGCCCUGCACUUCGGGAUAAGCCUGGGAAACUGGGUCUAAUACCGGAUAUGACCUCCUGUUGCAUGGNUUGUGGUGGAAAGAUUUAUCGGUGCAGGAUGGGCCCGCGGCCUAUCAGCUUGUUGGUGGGGUAAUGGCCUACCAAGGCGACGACGGGUAGCCGACCUGAGAGGGUGACCGGCCACACUGGGACUGAGACACGGCCCAGACUCCUACGGGAGGCAGCAGUGGGGAAUAUUGCACAAUGGGCGAAAGCCUGAUGCAGCGACGCCGCGUGAGGGAUGACGGCCUUCGGGUUGUAAACCUCUUUCAGCAGGGACGAAGCGCAAGUGACGGUACCUGCAGAAGAAGCACCGGCUAACUACGUGCCAGCAGCCGCGGUAAUACGUAGGGUGCAAGCGUUGUCCGGAAUUACUGGGCGUAAAGAGUUCGUAGGCGGUUUGUCGCGUCGUUUGUGAAAACCAGCAGCUCAACUGCUGGCUUGCAGGCGAUACGGGCAGACUUGAGUACUGCAGGGGAGACUGGAAUUCCUGGUGUAGCGGUGAAAUGCGCAGAUAUCAGGAGGAACACCGGUGGCGAAGGCGGGUCUCUGGGCAGU
rnacentral:rRNA from 1 species